GGACAGAUAGCUCAGCGGUAGAGGUAUGUUCUGAAUGUCUCACUUUGCUCUUGGUACUGAACUGACACAAGAUAUCAGCGAGGGAUUGCAGAUCCCUAGGUCGCGUGUUCGAUCCACGCUCGGUCCU